AAAUUUACAGAGAUAUUUUAUCCUCGUAGAGCUCAAAUAAUAACAUAAUUAAAUACUUACUUGCAAUUAUGACAAGCCCUACAAAGGAGAAGUUCAGAGGCUGUGGGGGAAGAUAAAAGGAAGGGAAAACUCAGUGAAGAAGUCAACUUAAGCUUUCCUUGAGGAAGUGAUAAUUGAGCCGACUUUUGAAAAAUAAGCAGAAAUGAACCAAUCAAAGAAGGCAUGAGGAGAGGCGUCUUGUUCCAGGCAGAGGCAAUUAUACAUGGGAAGGUCCAAAAGCAGGAAGAGACAUGGCAUAAGGCCAGUGUGGCUGGAGCUCAAAAAGUUUCUUAACCAUGAGGAAAGCACAUCGGAGAGUCUGGACUCAGGCUGGAUGCAGUAAGCCGGAUAAAACUUGAGUGAUGAGGCCAACACUUAAGAGGAGGCAGACCAACAAUGGAGAACUAACUUGGAUCCUCAAAUGACCUCCUGGAGUGGAGCCACCUACUCACCUUGGGCCACAGAUGAGAAAUAAAUAAACUCUGUUUUAUCUAAAGCA